UGGGGGAUAUUGCACAAUGGGGGAAACCCUGAUGCAGCAACGCCGCGUGGGUGAAGAAGUAUUUCGGUAUGUAAAGCCCUAUCAGCAGGGAAGAAGAAGGACGGUACCUGACUAAGAAGCCCCGGCUAACUACGUGCCAGCAGCCGCGGUAAUACGUAGGGGGCAAGCGUUAUCCGGAUUUACUGGGUGUAAAGGGAGCGUAGACGGCUUGAUAAGUCUGAAGUGAAAGGCCAAGGCUUAACCAUGGAACUGCUUUGGAAACUAUGAAGCUAGAGUGCUGGAGAGGUAAGCGGAAUUCCUAGUGUAGCGGUGAAAUGCGUAGAUAUUAGGAGGAACACCAGUGGCGAAGGCGGCUUACUGGACAGAAACUGACGUUGAGGCUCGAAAGCGUGGGGAGCAAACAGG
rnacentral:rRNA from 1 species